UGCAUUUUUCUUUUCCUUUUGUUUUUCCCUUUUCAUUUUAAGGAAUAUUAUUCUAAAGCAAAAACCUUAAUAAAACCAUAGGUCUAUUCCAAGAUUUCUCAGUAUCGUCUGUAACAUUCCAUUCAGAAGGUAGAAAACCACAAAGUCCUUCCUGAGGACAGGUGUAGAUGGAAAGUAAUACUGCAUUACUGCACUGUACAGAAUACAACUGUGAAGACAGGGAAACGCAAUUAUUUAAUUUCCCAUUCCCCAGGUCACUUUUGUUGAAGAACUGCUCACUUAACAUCCUGGGAACUAUCUUGUUGAGAUCUGCCACUGUGAUCUACGAGUGAUGAGCCUUUUCCAGUUAGGGAAUUUAUUUGUCAUGUUUACACCAUGGGAAAAUUGGAGCCCUCCCCCCAUAAGAUAAUGAAGAAAAAUUAAAUUCAUGAAAGAAAGUAUACAUUUAAAGUAGG